rnacentral:rRNA from 1 species
GACGUAGGGCGCGAGCGUUGUCCGGAUUUAUUGGGCGUAAAGAGCUCGUAGGCGGCUUGUCACGUCAAUCGUGAAAUUCUGCGGCUUAACUGUGGGAGUGCGGUUGAUACGGGCAGGCUAGAGUUCGGUAGGGGAGACUGGAAUUCCGUGGUGUAGGCGGUGAAAUGCGCAGAUAUCAGGAGGAACACCGGUGGCGAAGGCGGGUCUCUGGGCCGAUACUGACGCUGAGGAGCGAAAGCGUGGGGAGCGAACAGG